rnacentral:rRNA from 1 species
UGCCAGCCGCCGCGGUAAUACAGAGGGUGCGAGCGUUAAUCGGAAUUACUGGGCGUAAAGGGCGCGUAGGCGGCUUAGUAAGUCGGAUGUGAAAUCCCUGGGCUUAACCUGGGAACUGCAUUCGAUACUGCUUAGCUUGAGUAUGGUAGAGGGAAGCGGAAUUCCGGGUGUAGCGGUGAAAUGCGUAGAUAUCUGGAGGAACAUCAGUGGCGAAGGCGGCUCCCUGGCCAAAGACUGACGCUCAUGUGCGAAAGUGUGGGUAGCGAACGGGAUUAGAUA